rnacentral:rRNA from 1 species
UCACCUCACCCCCUCUUGUCUUAUUCCGCCUAUAUACCGCCGUCGCAAGCUUACCCUCUGAGGGACAAAUAGUAAGCUCAACCGGCACUGCCCAGAACGUCAGGUCGAGGUGUAGCGAAUGAGGGGGGAAGAAAUGGGCUACAUUCCCUACCUCAGGGAAUUACGAAUAAUCUUAUGCUGAAACGCGUAUUUGAAGGUGGAUUUAGUAGUAAGCAUGAAAAUAGAGUGUUCUGCUGAACCCGGCUCUGAAGCGCGCACACACCGCCCGUCACUCUCCCCGACAAAUGGAAAUGCCCUUAACUAAAAGAAUACAACACUAGAGGGGAGGCAAGUCGUAACAUGGUAAGUGUACCGGAAGGUGUACUUGGUCAACA